UACGAAGGGGGGCUAGCGUUGCUCGGAAUCACUGGGGCGUAAAAGGGCGCGUAGGCGGCGUUUUUAAGUCGGGGGGUGAAAAGCCUGUGGCUCAACCACAGAAUUGCCUCGAUACUGGGACGCUUGAGUGUGGUAGAGGUUGGUGGAACUGCGAGUGUAGAGGUGAAAAUUCGUAGAUAUUCGCAAGAACACCGGUGGCGAAG
rnacentral:rRNA from 1 species